rnacentral:miRNA from 1 species
UCCCCUCUGUGGAGUGGGUGCCUGUCCACUGCCACUGAGUGACCCCCCCCCCCCUCCACCAG